rnacentral:rRNA from 1 species
AUUGAACGCUGGCGGCAGGCCUAACACAUGCAAGUCGAACGAGAGGCGGACGGGUGAGUAAUGUCUGGGAACCUGCCCGAUGGAGGGGGCUGACUACUGGAAACGGUAGCUAAUAGCGCAUAACAUGGGAUGUGGCCAGAUGGGAGUAGCGAGUCGGGUGGGUAAAGGCUCACCUAGGCGACGAUCCCUAGCUGGUCUGCGCGGAUGACCAGCCACACUGGAACUGAGACACGGCCCAGACUCCUACGUGAGGCAGCAGUGGGGAAUAUUCGACAAUGGGCGAAAGCCUGAUGCAGCAAUGCCGCGUGUAUGAAGAAGGCUUUCGGGUGGUAAAGUACUUUCAGCGAGGAAGCGUUACUCGAAGAAUAAGCACCGGCUAACUCCGUGCCAGCAGCCGCGGUAAUUC